GCCUAGAUGGCUCAGUGGUUGAGCGUCUGCCUUCGGCGCAGGGUGUGAUCAAAUCCCGGAGUCCCGGGAUCAAAUCCCACUUAGGCU
rnacentral:tRNA from 1 species